rnacentral:rRNA from 1 species
AGCAGCCGCGGUAAUUCCAGCUCCAGUAGCGUAUAUUAAAGUUGUUGCAGUUAAAAAGCUCGUAGUUGAAUUUCGGGAUCAAGGAAUCGGUCAUGCCUUGGUAUGUACUGGUUUUAUUGGUUCUCACCUUCUAAAGAACCAUAAUGUCAUUUAUUUGAUGUUAUGGGGAAUUAGGACUGUUACCUUGAAAAAAUUAGAGUGUUUAAAGCAAGCUUACGCUUGAAUACAUUAGCAUGGAAUAAUGAAAUAGGACGUUUGAUUCUAUUUUGUUGGUUUCUAGGAUCGACGUAAUGAUUAAUAGGGAUAGUUGGGGGCAUUAGUAUUCAAUUGUCAGAGGUGAAAUUCUUGGAUUUAUUGAAGACUAACUACUGCGAAAGCAUUUGCCAAGGAUGUUUUCAUUAAUCAAGAACGAAAGUUAGGGGAUCGAAGACGAUCAGAUACCGUCGUAGUCUUAACCAUAAACUAUGCCGACUAGGGAUCGGAUGAUGUUAAUUUUUAAUGUACUCAUUCGGCGCCUUAA